UACGAAGGGUGCUAGCGUUGUUCGGAAUCAUUGGGCGUAAAGCGUGCGUAGGCGGCUUGGUAAGUCGAUUGUGAAAGCCCGGGGCUUAACCCUGGAAUUGCAAUCGAAACUGCCUUGCUGGAGUGUGGUAGAGGACAGCGGAAUUCCUAGUGUAGGGGUGAAAUCCGUAGAUACUAGGAGGAAUACCAGAAGCGAAGGCGGCUGUCUGGGCCACUACUGACGCUGAGGCACGAAAGCGUGGGGAGCAAACAGG
rnacentral:rRNA from 1 species